ACAGUAAGUUCACCCCAGAGCCAUUUUGCUGCUCAGAUGAACGGAAGAAUCCUGCUCUGAACCGAUCCAGUUUUGACCUGGGUAGAGAAGAGGCCCAGUUGAAACCAUUAAAGAUUUAUUCCUGACAGAACCAAUUAGGCCUGGCUGAGCAGCAAAGACCUUAAUUAGUCACAUGACUCAAAUUCCUUACUCACGCAAUUGGCACCAGGAAAUUAAUUACAGCAGCAGCAGCCCAGGCAGGGUGGAUGGAUUGUGAUUGUCAUGAGGGGAUGCACCAAGACCCACUGAGAGCUCAGGUUCUUUUCAAUCUCAGAAGAUUUCUAAUCAAGUCCAGGUAUUCAGUGAAAUCAGCAUCAAGAAUUCUAAGAAAAUAGACCUGAUGUUUCCAGUUGUUCAGGAGAAGAAACACUUGCUAACGGAUGUGACAUGUUUUUGAACCAUUUUCCAAGGUAAUGGAAAAAGUUAAGCAUAUUCCCUAGUAUGCACAUGGAUGACUAAGCUGCCAAUAUGAAAUCAAUUUAAGCAAGUGCAGUCCCUAUUUAAUCCUUGUAUAAAUUAAUUUUAGGACUCUCCUUCUCCUACAGGAAGACUAAAUUGUAGCAUCUAAUUUUUUUUUUUAUCCUGAAGUCUCAAUCUUUGCUCUCUCUACAUAUCUAUCUGCAA
rnacentral:lncRNA from 1 species